AUCUAUGGCCACACCAGCUGAGGGCACCUGAGCGCAUUUGGUGUUGGAAGUUACGCAGGAUGGGGGCUGACUAGCAUGUGAGUGGGAGACCAAGGCACCAAUGUCAUAAGAGUUAUUGACA
rnacentral:rRNA from 14 species